UACGUAGGGUGCGAGCGUUAAUCGGAAUUACUGGGCGUAAAGCGUGCGCAGGCGGUUCGCUGUGUCCUGUGUGAAAGCCCCGGGCUUAACCUGGGAAUGGCAUGGGAAACUGGCGGGCUGGAGUGUGGCAGAGGGGGGUGGAAUUCCGCGUGUAGCAGUGAAAUGCGUGGAGAUGCGGAGGAACACCGAUGGCGAAGGCAGCCCCCUGGGCUAACACUGACGCUCAGGCACGAAAGCGUGGGGAGCAAACAGG
rnacentral:rRNA from 1 species